rnacentral:rRNA from 1 species
UACGGAGGGUGCAAGCGUUGUCCGGAUUUAUUGGGUUUAAAGGGUGCGUAGGCGGCCCUGUAAGUCAGUGGUGAAAAUACUGCAGCUUAACUGUAGCAUUGCCAUUGAUACUGUAGGGCUUGAGUACAGAUGAGGUAGGCGGAAUUGAUGGUGUAGCGGUGAAAAUGCAUAGAUACCAUCAAGAACACCGAUUGCGAAGGCAGCUUACUAAGCUGUAACUGACGCUGAGGCACGAAAAGCGUGGGGGAUCGAACAGG